rnacentral:tRNA from 1 species
AUUUAAAUAGCUUAUAUUUAGAGUAUAAUAUUGAAGCUAUUAUGGAAAUAAAUCUAUUUUUAAAUA